rnacentral:rRNA from 1 species
UACAGAGGUCCCAAGCGUUGUUCGGAUUCAUUGGGCGUAAAGGGUGUGUAGGUGGCGCCGUAAGUCGGGUGUGAAAUUUCGGAGCUUAACUCCGAAACUGCAUUCGAUACUGCGGUGCUUGAGGACUGGAGAGGAGACUGGAAUUUACGGUGUAGCGGUGAAAUGCGUAGAUAUCGUAAGGAAGACCAGUGGCGAAGGCGGGUCUCUGGACAGUUCCUGACGCUGAGGCACGAAGGCCAGGGGAGCAAACGGG